UGUUUGGUUUGUUACGUGUGGUUGGCUGCGGCGUUUGCAACAACUUCCAUGCUUUCAGACCUCUUCAGUUGUGCGGCAAGGCUUGUAUUGCCUUGAGCGUAUUGUGGGUUUUCUGUGUUGGCUACCUAAUCAACGGUAUCGUUUGGAUUGAUCAAAGUUUGAUUUCGUCUUCCGUCGCGUUUGCGGCGUGAGGUGAACCUUGAUGCGGUCUCUUUGAUCCAUCUCGUCGAAGCACAUGCUUUGACGUUGUGGCACAUUGAGCAUUGCUUGGUGUCUUGUAUACGGAACACGUAGUGGGCAUGGAUCUAACGAUUCUUGUUUGCCCUCAUAUUAGCGUAACGCUUCUCUAACACGACUUGCAUCACGUUUUAGCUCGUACGGACGUGGUGCUAUGUCGCAGAGGAAUGCUACCUGGUUGAUCCUGCCAGAGUCAAUC
rnacentral:misc_RNA from 1 species